AGUAAACAUAUAAGGUAACCAAUCUUAUCAGUUAUUAGGUGAAUACAAAUUAAUAUUGUAAUGAGAUACCAUUUCAUCUAUCCUACUGGCAAAAAAAUUAAGUUUGAAAAUAUCAAGCAUUUGUAAGUAUAGGAGCAUCUGCAUUGAAAUGUUCAGCUUAAAACUACAAAGAGUUUUGAGACACCAUGGAGUGCUUGGUACAGAUGAUGUGCACUGUGAUGACCAAUCCAGGAGGCAAGCAGGGCCCAGGCAGAGUCAGGGUAAAACUAUUAGAGGCGUUUGAACCAGAGUGACUCCAUCUUGAAUAGGGCCCACCUUUCAGAAUCCUGGAUGGAGGGGCCUUGGGCUCAGUGGAGGCAGAUGCUAGAUAGUAAGUGUGAGAAGUAGGGCUGACAACAAAGACGCUGAUUAAAGUUGAAUGAUCCAAAGUUUCCAGGACCCUCUGAAGGCCUUUCCAAUUCCAAUAAUGAGAAAAAAACAAGAAAAAUACAAUCAAGUUGUGCAAAGCCAGUAGCUCUGUUACUGACUGGCACCUCUAUCUCUCCAAUUUUCAUCCAAAUAAAUAACUUAUGAUACAAGAUAAAAAUACCUUAUUUUGAAAAUAGCUUCAUAUAAGAGGUUAAAAACAUAUCCCAAUAAUUUUGUUCAAACUUGCUUUACAUCCCUGGAUAUUUUAAUCUAAAACUCACAUCAUGUAAUUCUUCUCCUCUAAAAUAACCUCAUUUCUUUAAAUAUUAAAAUUUCUUUUCCCCAUUAGUAAAAAUAAAAUCAUGUAGGUGCAAUUUUGUUUUCUUUAUGCUUUGGGGACUAAAUUUAACUAAUUAACAUUUUAAUAACAUUCCACCAUUUGUUCCUGCAGAAUUAGGGGACUUGCUCAAGACAGAUUAAGAUAUACUUUGAGCCAUCUGGAAUUCAAGUAGCUUUGAUUUUAAGUAAGUACUUAUUUUCUUAUAUGUUUGUGGACAUUUCAAAGUGAUUAAAAUACAGGCCAUAAGGUAAAUGGACAGAAUAGAAUUUAUUUAUUUUCAUUAUACUUCUCACACUCAAAAGAUUCUGAAUUGCUUCCCUAAAUGGGAUUUAAAUUUUGGUGAGUAUUGUGGCAGAACAGGCACUCA
rnacentral:lncRNA from 1 species